rnacentral:rRNA from 1 species
AUUGAACGCUGGCGGCAGGCCUAACACAUGCCAGUCGAACGGUAACAGGAAGCAGUUUGCUGCUUUGCUGACGAGUGGCGGACGGGUGAGUAAUGUCUGGGAAACUGCCCGAUGGAGGGGGAUAACUACUGGAAACGGUAGCUAAUACCGCAUAACGUCGCAAGACCAAAGAGGGGGACCUUAGGGCCUCUUGCCAUCGGAUGUGCCCAGAUGGGAUUAGCUAGUAGGUGGGGUAACGGCUCACCUAGGCGACGAUCCCUAGCUGGUCUGAGAGGAUGACCAGCCACACUGGAACUGAGACACGGUCCAGACUCCUACGGGGGGCAGCAGUGGGGAAUAUUGCACAAUGGGCGCAAGCCUGAUGCAGCCAUGCCGCGUGUAUGAAGAAGGCCUUCGGGUUGUAAAGUACUUUCAGCGGGGAGGAAGGGAGUAAAGUUAAUACCUUUGCUCAUUGACGUUACCCGCAGAAGAAGCACCGGCUAACUCCGUG